CCCUCGGUAGUUUAUUUGGUAGAGCGCUCCACUGAAUAUGGAGAGGUCCCGGGUUCGAUACCCGGACCAGGCG
rfam:Ixodes scapularis strain Wikel colony gcontig_1108379129156, whole genome shotgun sequence.